UCUCUCGUGUUAACUGUCUGUAUUUCUUAUUUACUCUAUUUCUCUGUGUGACUGGCGAAAUCGAGCAACAUUUAUAUUGGUUAUUAUUAUAUGGAGAUCAUCAUCAUUGUAUUUCUUACACCCUAAGAGAAGUAGCAGAAUUGAAUAACUUAUAACGAUAGCAAAUAUUUCCAGUGAUGUACGACUGAUUUCAAACAGUGAAUUUCGUGUCAAGAAUCAAGGGAAUUUGAUAUUGCUUUUGCGUGAAUGAUCCAGCAAAGAGCAAUGGAAUAGCUAUGCUUUAGCGAUAUCAACUGUUAUAUCGUAAUAAUAAUGGAAAUUUCUGAGGUAACUGUGUAUAUAUAAAGAGAUAGUUUGGACCAUACGAUAUUAGCAUUGACUACUGAAGGAAAAUAAGUCCUUUCAUUUCACUUCGUCAUCGUCGUCUCGCAGUAAAUUUGAAGACAUGAAAGCAGUCAUCUUAAUUUUAUGUGUGAUAGCCAUCUCUCAAACAAAGGCCUAUUACUAUAGACAUGGUGGCUAUCGCCGUAUGUACAGGCCCCCGCAACCCCCUAUUCCACCAAUUAAACCACCACUUCCACCACCAGUUAUUCCAACCCCACUCUGCCCAGGAAAUGUUGCCGGUAAAUUGCUUUUCUGCUCUCCGAACUGUGCCAAACCAAACUUUGUUCCUGUAAGUGGAGUUCCUGGAUGCUACCCUGGAUUAACUUGUUGCACUCAAGCAUAAAAAUUAUGCAGAAAACAAUUGAAAUAUUUGAAAGUGGUUGAUAAUAUUCAGAACCAAUGAUGGACGGAUAGAAAGGAAUAAUGCACAAUAAAAGCAC
rnacentral:lncRNA from 1 species